rfam:Erinaceus europaeus unplaced genomic scaffold scaffold01108, whole genome shotgun sequence
UAGUCAGUUAGCAGAUGAUUUCACAAAUGUACCCGAGAAGGUCUUGGGGCCGAAACGAUGUCAGUCUAUUCUCAAACUUUAGAUGGGUAAGAAGCCCGGCUCGCUGGCAUGGAGCCGGAUGUGGAAUAUGAGUGCCUAGUGGGCCACUUUUGGUAAGCUGAACUGGCGCUGUGGGAUGAACCGUACGCCGGGUUAAGGUGCCUGAUGCCUAUGCUCAUCAGACCCCAGAAAAGGUGUUGGUUGAUACAGACAGCAGGACGGUGGCCAUGGAAAUCUGAAUCCGCUAAGGAGUGUGUAACAACUCACCUGCCGAAUCAACUAGCCCUGAAAAUGGAUGGCGCUGGAGCGUCGCUGCAGUUUUAUCUGGUAAAGCGAAUGAUUGGAG